GCAUGGGUAACUUUACAGCAUUAACAAUUGCCAAACCUCUUGUUCCAAUUUUUCACCUCUUACCCCCCACUUCCUCCCCCAGAUGGCAGGAUGACCAGUAGAUGUUAAGUACAUUAAAAUAUAAAUUAGAUACACAAUAAGUAUACAUGACCAAAACGUUAUUUUGUUGUACAAAAAGAAUCAGACUCUGAAAUAUUGUACAAUUAGCUUGUGAAGGAAAUCAAAAAUGCAGGUGUGCAUAAAUAUAGGGAUUGGGAAUUCAAUGUAAUGGUUUUUAGUCAUCUCCCAGAGUUCUUUUUCUUGGCAUAGCUAGUUCAGUUCAUUACUGCUCCAUUAGAAAUGAUUUGGUUGAUCUCGUUGCUGAGGAUGGCCUGGUCCAUCAGAACUGGUCAUCAUCUAGUAUUGUUGUUGAAGUAUAUAAUGAUCUCCUGGUCCUGCUCAUUUCACUCAGCAUCAGUUCGUGUAAGUCUCUCCAGGCCUUUCUGAAAUUAUCCUGUUGGUCAUUUCUUACAGAACAGUAAUAUUCCAUAAUAUUCAUAUACCACAAUUUAUUCAGCCAUUCUCCAACUGAUGGACAUCCAUUCAGUUUCCAGUUUCUAGCCACUACAAAAAGGGCUGCCACAAACAUUCGUGCACAUACAGGUCCCUUUCCCUUCUUUAUAAUCUCUUUGGGAACUCUCUUUUCCACUGACUGACUCUUGACUGAGGCUCUAAGAGCUUCUUAUAUAUACUCUCUUAAAGGUGUGAACCCAAAGGUUGACUCCUCCUCCAAGAGUGAGGUUGUGGGAGGUGUAACUUGUAACUCUAAUGUGUGAGUUAAUGUGAGAACUCUCAAAGGUGUGAACAUAAGCAUUGUUUCUAUCAAUUCUAGUGAGUUAACACCUUGUUUCAAGUUUUGGCUUAUAACACAGGACAGUAACAAAACUGAGGCUAUAAAUAAUGGGCUUGGAUAUUCUCUCUUACCUCUCUUUUGUUCUUAAAAUUUAGGUUUGCCUUUCUAUUUUUAUGGAAAAAUGGAGGCAUUUGGAAUCAUUUGGGGAUCUCUUUCAGCAGCUGAUCAGUGGAUUGUAUCAAUAAAUAUUUUACUCUCUUAAGAUAUGUAUGUUCCAACAACAUCUGCCAUUUCCAUAGAGUUUUUAGGAUUCUUUUAAAUAUAACUAAAUAUAAAUAACUAAAUAUAAAUAUAAUAUAAUAUAAUAAAUAUAAUAUAACUAAAUAUAAAUAAAUAUAACUAAAUAUAAAUAAGCCCCAGUCACAGAUUUUUAUUGUUAAACUCUUCUGUAAUAAGAUAAGGAUUCGCUCUAAGGUGUAAAUCAACAAGCACUGUAUCCAUUCUAUUGAGUUAACACCAGGACCCUGACAUCACCCUUGAGUUUUCACCUUGUUUCAAGUUGAGUUGACACUAGGAUUCCAACAUCUGCCAUUUCCAUAGUUUUUAGGAUCUGUAAAGUCCUUUAGAUCCAUUCUCUCAUGCAAUUCUUCUGGCAGCUCUGUGAGAUAGUUGCUUUACUUAAGACAUUGUAGAUGCAAGGCCCAACCCACGUUUCUUUCUUUCUUUCUUUUUUUUUUUUUUUUUUUAAAUUUAAUAUCCUUUUAUUUACAGGUUAUAUGUAUGGGUAACUUUACAGCAUUGACAAUUGCCAAACCUCUUGUUCCAAUUUUUCCCCUCCUUCCCCCCACCCCCUCCCCUAGAGGGCAGGAUGACCAGUAGAUGUUAAAUAUAUUAAAAUAUAAAUUAGAUACACAAUAAGUAUACAUGACCAAACAGUUAUUUUGCUGUACAAAAAGAAUCAGACUCUGAAAUAAUGUAGCUUGUGAAGGAAAUCAAAAAUGCAAGUGGGCAAAAAUAUAGGAUUGGGAAUUCAAUGUAAUGGUUUUUAGUCAUCUCCCAGAGUUCUUUCACUGGGCGUAGCUGGUUCAGUUCAUUACUGCUCCAUUGGAACUGAUUUGCCUACCCAAGUUUCUCAAAAACCUCCCUGGCUCAGUGGUAUCAGAGGGUUUUGCCAUUGAGCACUUUGGGGCACUUUUAUUCAUUCUACCCACGAAGAAGACACUGUGGUAAGAACUCCCUUUGAUGCCUGCUCCAGCAGAUGCAUGUGCUAUGAGUGCCAGGCUGAUGACUGGUGCCAUAGUUAAAUAAGCAUCUUUCUCAUACCAUAGGAGGAGAUAAAGGUGAUUCUGAAACACACCCUUAAGUAUAAGGAACCAGGGCACUAUUAAUUCAAUUCAGAGUGGAUUUGUUUGAACUUGUGACAAAACCUGUUACCAAAGUUCUUCCUCUUCUCAGCUCCUGGCCAAGAAACCUCAUCUGUUUUCUCCUGUGCUUGGUGCCCUGUUCUGCACUAAUGUAGAAACUUCUCAAACCAAAAAGGUUAUCCCUAGGUUCCUCUGCCUGCUCCCAAAAGGACUUAUAUAGUUCCUACAGCCAGUUUCUCAAACUAUGCCGUCUACCACCCCUCCCCAAUUCUCUCAUACCUGCCUUCCUGCCAACUACUAGUGGUCAGAUCUUUUAUCUUCAGAAAUUUUCUGGCAAAGCCCUCUUAAGAAAUGAACUCUUUCAAGGAAGGGAGGGAGAAAAGAAGGAAAGAAGGGAGGAAGAGAGAGAGGAAAGGCGGAAGGGAAGAAGGAAGAAAGAUAUUUGAAGCAGAAAAACACAUAUAAAAUAAAGAUAAGGAGAUGGAUCAGAAAAAAAAAAAAAAGAAAUGAACUCUUUCACCAAACCCACGACACUGAUGGGAAACCCUAAUCUUGUUGGGGUGUCUUUCUCCUCAAUACUCCCACUGAUGGACAACAAAAUAUUCUCUUCCUGGGCCCUGUCCUCUCAGCUCCCUCUUCCCCAUAAAUUCUCCUAGACUUUGUUCUUAUCCCUCCUUUGCCCUCCCACUUGUAUCUCCAACGCUUCACAUACUGUAUCCUUUUUUUAAAUGUUCAUUUUAACGAGUUACACGUGAAAACAUUUUCUUUUGGUUAGACAUAUACUUUUUUUUUUCCUACUUCUCAUUCUAACUAUCCCCUCAAACCCUCUUACAGGUAGUGUUCUAAACUUAAAAAGAUCUACACUUCCAUACAGCCCCACGCAAGCUGCUCGGAAGUCCUGACCCUACUUAUUCAGACACUUCCCGGAACCCACCACGCUCAUCCUGUCCCCCCCCCCCUUUUUUUUUCUCCGUUUGAGUUUCUCUUUUGUCCCAACACUUCCAAACGCUCCGGAGAAAGGACUCUUAGGCAGGGACCCUCUCCACCUCCGCAAGAAGCAGCUCCUACUUCGCCUCGCCUUCCCUCAUUCCGCCCCUUGACAUCCCAAACUCCCGAAGCGGGGGAGAGAGAGAAGAGGGGUCGGUCCUUCCUCUAGCUCCGCCUCCCUCUCGCUACCACCCCGCGCAGCCUGCCCCCAGCCUUUCCCUCAGCCCCGGCCGAUCCUCAUCCCCCUCCGGUGCCCCAUUUUCAGCUUCUCACAGCUUCGGACCCCGAUCCCACCCCCACUCCCUUCCGCGGUCCUUCCGGACUACUGCUCCCACUGGGCGGUUUGGGCCUCUUCCUACUCACAAACUCCUUCCAAACACUUCUCUGGACACUGAACGUCCUCAUUCUCCCCUCCCUUUCCCUCCUCCUCCCUCCUUCCUCCAAGGGAUCAUAGAAUGGCUCUGACAUCUCUUAGAAGACCCGUCUAACUCCCUCAUUUUACAGACGAGGAAACUGAGCCUCAGAGAGGGUGUACCUUGUACAAGGUCAUACAGAAGUGACGCCAACCGAGAUGCCCACCUGGGUCUUCAGACCGCUCCACCGCCCCCUCCUCACAAUUCCUUUCCUUAUCCUCCUGAGCCCCGUAGUUCCCCUCAGCCACCCC
rnacentral:lncRNA from 1 species